rnacentral:lncRNA from 1 species
AGAAUAGAAGUUCGCAUGGAAGGCAUAAGUUAGAGCAACGAUACUAUUUGUAUAAAAAGUAAGCAUAAUCAUUGAUUUUUGUUGUUAAUAUUUGAAGCUCUUUUUUUUUUUGCAUAAUGUUUUUGUUUUGAACUUCUCUCGACAGAUAAUUUGGUUCAAAAUGAGUGGAUGGAUUAAUGUUAUUAUUUAUUACGAUGGUGAGGUUCAUGACACUGAGAACGACGUUGUUUUUUUAUCGAAGAACACAGUGCGAUUUUCAUUUAACCAUAACAUACAGUUGCUAAAACUUCAGACAAAAUUAGGUGAGAAAUCGUUGGAUCCAACUAGAUGAGAGUAUCAUUUAUUAAGUAUCGAGUUUGUGCUUUGGUCGACCUCGUGAGAUAUGACACUUUCGAUAACAAAGUUGUUAGGGGCUUGGAGGCGAUAGUGCAAACACAUAUCGAUAUUAAAUCACCGUUUCUCGAGUUAUAUGUAGAAUUUUCAAGCCUAGAUUAAAGCCUUCAAUGUUGACAUAUGUUCCUUUCCGAGGGGCUAGAAUGGUUGAGAAUGUCAAUAGUCCAAUGGCAUAGUUGUGUGGUGGGUUCACCUAUGGAUUCUUUUUCUUAUUGAUUCUUAUUCUCUAAUCCAAUACUUUUUUUUCAUUUGGUAUUGUAAGGGAGUCCAUUUCUAGUUUCAAGCAAACUAAAGUGGACUUUAUUUUUCAAAAUCUUACUUUUAAAGUAAAUUAUUUUCUCAUUUAUUAAAAAUUUAAAAAUUCAAAAUUUAUCUUUAAAAGACUAUUCAAAAUAAAAUAAAUAAUACCAUAUUCAUGUGAUUAAAAUGCUUUAUUACUCAAAAAUGCCGAAAUUUUUUUAUAUUUACCAGAGUAGGACGAUUUUUGGAAUAAUUAUGGGAGUAGGCCGAUUUAGGGAAAACACUUCCAGUUGGAGACAUUUUAGGUGAAAUGCAGAAAAAGGUGUAGCGACCUAAAAAUUUGGGUACGAUGGCACGGGCGCUAGUCGAAGUGAUUAUUGAAAACUUGAAAACCGAAUCUCGAUUUUAUUUGAAAAAGGAGUCGCCACCGAUCUUUUUUCCUAGGUGCGAUCGGACACCUAAUAAAUUCUCUUUUUAACAGAAAAAUUAUUUUUCAAAUUUUCUAAAAAGAGUCGAUUUUAGGUCCACGUCAAAAUCCGGAGAAAGUUAGGGUUCGGGAGUCGGUUACGCGCGAGGAAGGUAUUAGCACCCUCGCGACGCCCAAAAUUGGUAUCUCGUUAAACGCGCGAUGUCUUCAUUUUCAAAAAUACGAGUUCAAUUUAAUAUUAGUCGUGACCCGAUUGAAACACGAGAAUUUUAAAGCACAACUUUUUCUUUUUUUGAAAACACAAAUUUUUUUUAAAAUACAAGAAUUUUAGAAACACGAUUUUUUUUUUAAAACACGAAAAUUUUUAAAACACAAAAUUUGUUUUUGAAAACAUAAAAAUUUUGAUAAAAAACGAAACACGAGGAUUUUUUUGAAACAUGAAAAUUUAUGAAACACGGUCAAUUUUUUGAAAACACAAAAAUUUUUGAAAGACGAGAAUUUUUUUUAACACGAAAAUUUAUGAAACACGGAAAUCUUUUUUGAAAAGAAGAAAAUUUUUAAAAUACGAGAAUUUUUGAAAACACGGGAAAUUUUUUGAAACACGAUUUUUUUAAGAAGUACCAUAUUUAACACGAAUCAAUGAUAUUCAUCCCUACAUGGCGAUGAAAUCAUCGAAUUAGUGCCAAGUCGAUUCAACUUAAUAUUUAAUCGUGAUUCUAUUAAAACACGAGAAUUUAAAAAAAACACGAGAAUUUUAGAAUAUUUUCGAUUUUUUUAAAAAAAUGGUGUAUCGUGUUUAACACAAACCGAUGAUAUUCACCCAACAUAGCGAUGAAAGCAACGAUUUAAUGUUAAAUCGAUUCGUUGCCUUAUUUAUUGAAAUUAUUUAAAUUCAAAAUAAAAUUGAAAUUAAAAAUAAAAAUAUAAAAAUGCAUAAAAUAUUUAUAAUAUUAAAACGAAAUAGCAUGAGAAUACGAGCAUUAAAUUAAAAGUGAAAUAAACGAAAUUACCAAAAAUAUCUAAAACACGAGCUUGGUCGAACGGGUUACACAAAUCGAAACUCCAUUUUUUCUUUUCUUUUCUUUUUUUUCUCUUCUUUCUUGUUCUUUUUUUUUCUGGCCUGCUUCUUUUGGGCCUGGGCCUGCUGGACAUCCUGCUUUUUUUCUGCUGGGCCGUCUGCUGAUUGGGCCUGCUGCUGGACAGGCCUGCUUUAAAGCUGCUGGGCUGUUUUUUUUCUGCUGCCUUUGUUUUUCUGCUGCUCCUUUUUCUUUUUUUUUCCUGCUUUUUUUUGGGCUACUGUUUGGGCCUAAUUUGCUGCUGUGGCCCGCUAACUGCUGCCGGUUCGGGUCACGGGUCAGUCGGGCCGGUCCGGAUUCGGUUCGGUCAGACCCGAGUCGUGUCGGGUCGACCCGACUAUUCAAAAAAAUAUAUUUCUUUUUCUUUUUCUUUUUUUUUCUCUUUUUCUUUCUUCUUCUUCUUCUUCUUCCUUCUUUCCUUCUCUUUUCUUCUUCUUCUUCUCUGUUCGGCCUCCUUCGUCGCCGUCGAUGCCGCUGCUCGUGCUGCUGCCGUCACCUCCUCCGGUGGCUCGCCGAUGGUCGGCCUCUCUUCCUCCCCUCUCUUCUUUUCCUUUUCUUUUUCUUUUCUUUUUCGACACUUUUUUUUCUCUUUUUUUCUUUGAAAUUUUUCCUUUGCUUACUUUUUCUUUUUUUCUUUUUUGCUUUGACUCUUGUUUACCUUGCUAGGUGUCGGCGAUGGGAGUGCUGCGGCGGUGGGUACGGCGAUGCUGGUGCAACGGCCGGCGGUGGGCUGCUGUUUUUUGAUUUUUUUGCUCAAAGUUUUUGUUUUUUUUUUCUUUGCUUGCUGUUUUUUUUAUUUUGUGGGGGGUUUGAAAACCCUUUAAAUUGUUGAUUUUUUUUCUUUUUUGCAGGUAGCAGGUGGUUAGGGGAGAGGGAGGCCAUGCAUUAGGUCGGCUGUCGCAGUGUAGGUGCGCAACUUGCACUGUCGGAUGCCAGACGGACCAAAUUGCAAACACAGCAAAACUUCUGGGGCCAAAAUAUAAUUUUGAGAAAAUUUAGGGAUCAAAAUGUAACUUCAAAAAGUUUACGGGUCAAAAUAUAAUUUUAGGAAAGUUUAGGGUUAAAAUGUAAUCUCAAAAAUUUUAGG